rnacentral:lncRNA from 1 species
UUCUGGGAGAGAAUCUAGGUUCAUUUAAAAUAUAGGAGAACAGAGUUGGUGUAUGUGGGUUCGAUUCCCACCCUAAGCAAUCAUUUAUUUCAGCUGGUGCAAAGCGGGCAGUUUAGCUUAGUGGCCCCACACUGACUUUGUUGUUUCUUUCAAAAAAUUCAGGCGGCCGCGCCCAGGUCUUAAAUUUUAUUUCUUCAGAAUACCUUAUACAAAAAAAACCAUGGUAUAAUUGUGAAAAUUAUACCAUGGAUAGCUAUGGUAUAAUUUUCGGUUAUUGAGAUUUAUACGUGGGUUGCAC